ACCCUGACGCAGCGACGCCGCGUGGGUGAAGAAGGCCUUCGGGUCGUAAAGCCCUGUCUAGAGGGAAGAACUUCUCAACGGAACAAUACCCGUUGAGACUGACGGUACCUCUGGAGGAAGCACCGGCUAACUCCGUGCCAGCAGCCGCGGUAAUACGGAGGGUGCGAGCGUUGUUCGGAAUUACUGGGCGUAAAGCGGGUGUAGGCGGUUUGUUAAGUCAAAUGUGAAAGCCCACGGCUCAACCGUGGAAGUGCAUCUGAAACUGGCAGACUUGAGUACCGGAGAGGGAAGUGGAAUUCCUGGUGUAGGGGUGAAAUCCGUAGAUAUCAGGAGGAACACCGGUGGCGAAAGCGACUUCCUGGACGGAUACUGACGCUGAGAUCCGAAAGCGUGGGGAGCAAACAGGAUUAGAUACCCUGGUAGUCCACGCCCUAAACGAUGGGCACUAGGUGCAGGGAGUGUUGACCCUUUCUGUGCCGUAGCUAACGCAUUAAGUGCCCCGCCUGGGGAGUACGGUCGCAAGGUUGAAACUCAAAGGAAAUUGACGGG
rnacentral:rRNA from 1 species